rnacentral:rRNA from 1 species
AGAGUUUGAUCAUGGCUCAGAACGAACGCUGGCGGCAUGCCUCAUACAUGCAAGUCGAACGAAGGCUUCGGCCUUAGUGGCGCACGGGUGAGUAGCGCGUGGGAACCUGCCCUGGAGUGGGGGAUAACCGAGGGAAACUUCGGCUAAUACCGCAUGCGCCCGGAGCAAUCCGGGGAAAGAUUUAUCGCUCUAGGAGGGGCCCGCGUCGGAUUAGGUAGUUGGUGGGGUAACGGCCUACCAAGCCAACGAUCCGUAGCUGGUCUGAGAGGAUGAUCAGCCACACUGGGACUGAGACACGGCCCAGACUCCUACGGGAGGCAGCAGUAGGGAAUAUUGGACAAUGGGCGAAAGCCUGAUCCAGCAAUGCCGCGUGAGUGAGGAAGGCCUUAGGGUUGUAAAGCUCUUUCGGCGGGGACGAUGAUGACGGUACCCGCAGAAGAAGCCCCGGCUAACUUCGUGCCAGCAGCCGCGGUAAUACGAAGGGGGCGAGCGUUGUUCGGAAUUACUGGGCGUAAAGGGCGCGUAGGCGGCCAUCUUUGUCAGGCGUGAAAGCCCCGGGCUCAACCUGGGAACUGCGCUUGGGACGGGAUGGCUUGAGAUCGGGAGAGGAGAGUGGAAUUCCCAGUGUAGAGGUGAAAUUCGUAGAUAUUGGGAAGAACACCAGUGGCGAAGGCGGCUCUCUGGACCGAUACUGACGCUGAGGCGCGAAAGCGUGGGGAGCAAACAGGAUUAGAUACCCUGGUAGUCCACGCUGUAAACGAUGUGUGCUAGACGUUGGGAAGCCUAGCUUCUCGGUGUCGCAGCUAACGCUUUAAGCACACCGCCUGGGGAGUACGGGCGCAAGGUUAAAACUCAAGGAAUUGACGGGGGCCCCGCACAAGCGGUGGAGCAUGUGGUUCAAUUCGACGCAACGCGAAGAACCUUACCAGCUUCUGACAUUUUCUUCUAAUGC